GAUGAACGCUGGCGGCGUGCCUAAUACAUGCAAGUCGAGCGAACGGACGAGAAGCUUGCUUUUCUGAUGUUAGCGGCGGACGGGUGAGUAACACGUGGAUAACCUACUUAUAAGACUGGGAUAACUUCGGGAAACCGGAGCUAAUACCGGAUAAUAUUUUGAACCGCAUGGUUCAAUAGUGAAAGACGGUCUUGCUGUCACUUAUAGAUGGAUCCGCGCUGCAUUAGCUAGUUGGUAAGGUAACGGCUUACCAAGGCAACGAUGCAUAGCCGACCUGAGAGAGUGAUCGGCCACACUGGAACUGAGACACGGACAAGGCUCCUACGGGAGGCAGCAGUAGGGAAUCUUCCGCAAUGGGCGGAAGCCUGACAGAGCAACGCCGCGUGAGUGAUGAAGAUCUUCGGAUCGUAAAACUCUGUUAUUAGGGGAGAACAUAUGUGUAAGUAACUGUGCACAUCUUGACGGUACCUAGUCAGAAAGCCACGGCUAACUACGUG
rnacentral:rRNA from 1 species